rnacentral:rRNA from 1 species
CUGCGCGAAGGAUCAUUAUUGAAUUUUGAGAGAGGUUGUAGCUGAUCAUUAAGAUAUGUGCACACCUCAUUUCCAAAUUUUACACCAUGUGCACUUUUUGUAGGCCGACUUCUGUUGGUCUAUGUCUUUUUAAACACACUCAAAAGUUUAGAAUGUUAAAACACAAGCUUUGUAUUUUUGCAAGCUUUUAAAAUUAAUACAACUUUCAACAACGGAUCUCUUGGCUCUCGCAUCGAUGAAGAACGCAGCGAAAUGCGAUAAGUAAUGUGAAUUGCAGAAUUCAGUGAAUCAUCGAAUCUUUGAACGCACCUUGCGCUCCUUGGUAUUCCGAGGAGCAUGCCUGUUUGAGUGUCAUUAAAUUCUCAAUCCUUUCAAACUUGUUUUGCAGAGGCUUUGGAUUUUGGAGUGUUGCUGGCCUUUCAAAGUCGGCUCCUCUUAAAUGUAUUAGCUUGUAUAUUUUUGCGGAUAAGCUUUAGUUUGAUACAUAUCUAUGCUAAUUGCUUUGAAGCAAAUGUCAGCUUCCAAUUGUUGUUUUACAACACUUUUUUGACAUUUUGACCUCAAAUCAAGUAGGACUAUCUCCCUGAACUUAAGCAUAUCAAUAAGCGGAGGAAAAGAAAAU